GGAGAAGGAAGGCGCCCGGUGGCGCCGCUGGUCUUCAAAACCAGUCUGGGGGCCGUAAAGGUUCCCGGAGGGUUCGCCUCCCUCCCUUCUCCGCCA
rnacentral:tRNA from 1 species